AGAGAGAGAGAGAGAGAGAGAGAGAGAGAGAGAGAGAGAGAGCAGCUGCUAAUCACGAGACAGAGAUGGAGUACACUGCGAUGUGUCAUAACAGCUAUUAGAACAAAGACCACCUUCCUGUUUUGGAUCAUGGCCGUCUCACCAUCUGAGCCCCCCCAAGAAGCAGAUACCAACUCUAAUACAGGAGUGUAGACUCUUCGUCUCUAGACAGCCAGGUGUGUAAUACCAGGUACAUCGGAGGAGGAAACAUUUCAUCAUGCUCAUUGCUUCAGUCCAGCGCGGCGUGGGCACUAAGCAGCAGGUCGGGGUGAACCAGAAACCCUGGAUGUUAUUAAAGUGGACGCGGAGACACUGAGCGAUGGUGCCCCGACUAGUAUUUCCUGCAAUUUGGCUCUCGAGAAAUGAGGCCUGCUGGAGGGCUUUUGUUAUAAUGUCGACCAAGUCUGGAAGGUAGAAGCAGCGAGAUGACUACCCGGGA